CUGUAGCAGGAGUUGCACCGCAGGUGGGACUUGGGUCACCUAAGCACAACCAUUUAGGAAGUAAAUCUUGUCAUCAACUCAGUUUACUGUCACUGGAGAAAGGCUAAGAAAUAUAAAUGCAGACAAAUCCAAGGGAAACUCGCUCCUUUCUAAGACAUUAUGAGAUGCAGAACAACAUGCCACUCUGAGAUCCCUGUUUCUCAUUUCUGUCUGUAUUGCAUUUACUUAUUCAGGCUAGAUGCUUCAUUUUUUGAUGGCUGAUGCUGACUGUCCCAUCCUCUUUCUUUUUUCCUUGGUGCUGGGGUAGUCAAUGUGCCUAAUCAGAGUGACUGAUGAUCCUUCCUGACUGAACACACAUACAAAAGAAAGGGGUUGAACGGCAUAAGGUGUACUCAGAUUCAAUGGAAAUAUCAAGGAUUUGGAUGCCUCACCUUAAAGCACAAGAUGGGAAUGGAACAUUUUGUUCUAGGAGAAAUUCAUUAUCAUAAUUCCCUGUUGUUAUCUAGUUAACCAGAGCAUUCUUUAUGAAGAAACAAGAACAACUCUAUUUUUUCAUUAAAUCCUGAAGCAUAUGGGGCUUGAAAGAAGCUGAACAAAAAAGGUAAAAAGAAAAGGGAUGACACUAGAUCUGUUCAGCAGUGUGGCAUGGCAGCUCUAUGAUGCUAUUGCUGGACUCUGCAUUUGGUAGCAAUGAAGAAGCCAACUGACAAUACACUACUGUAACCAUGUUUGUAUUAUAUUCACAGGGUUGUGUUCACUCUAGUGACUAAUUUACUAGAACAGCUGUUUUUUAUGAAGAAUCUGGUGUAAUUUGUCAGCUAGUGUUAUUGAGCCAAGCUUUUCCACCACUUUGUCCACCAUUUAAGCACUGUUCAUGAAAGAGUACAACAGCACAGAAAUGGGACAACAUGAGGAAAUACUGAGUGUUUGUUGGUAACAAAAGUCUUUUUGUCACUGCUUUAAAAAAAUGGUUUUCUAGACUUCAUAAGCAGGAAGUUCUAAUUGAUAGGAGCUGUUGCUGCAACAUUUUAGUCGAUUCUGUGGAUAGUCAAUAACUAAAAUCUGCUGGCUUGAGUUAGUUUAUAUUUUUGUCAGACAUGCAUCAGUAGCAUCUGGCAUGUAGAACGUAAAGAAAAUUUAAACUCAAAACAUCUGAGAUUUAUAAUCACUCUGCUUUACUGGUUAUAUUUACCUGGAUAUUUACCCUAGUUUUGCAAAGAUAUUAAAAACUCCAUAUGGAAAUGAAGCGUUCACUGGAUCGUAGACGUAUUUGUCCGGCUUAUACUAACAACUGCUGCUUUUACACAUGCAUUUGAAAGAGGUGUUUGAAAGGGGUGAAGAAAAUAAGGUUGUUCCUGAAGUUUUUUAUUACUAAUGCUGGAAGAGAUGUUAGUACUGUCCAUUUAAGACUUCACACUGUUGUCUUCAAUUAAACUAUGAUACUACCACUAUGGAUAAUGAGAUCUGGUCCUUCACAGAGUAUUAUAUUCAUUUUUACUUGUAUGUUUAGAUUUCUUUACAGCAAUCCAUGAAUCUACAAAAUCACUUUAACAGGAUGCUGGGGAAAAAAAUGCUGUGUAUUCAUGGCAAACAAGUUCAUACAUCUGAUUUAGCCAGCCACCUGGAAACUUUUGCCAGGUAUCUUUCAGACACCACUGGAGACACAGUCUACAGAUAUCUGUCCCCGUGCCAGAGUGCUCCAAGGUAAAUGGAAAUAUCAUUAGUCAAAGCCUGAAGUUUUCUGUGAUGAUGUUCUUAUUUUGAUAGAUGUCUAGGCAGGUGUGAAUCAGGAUAUUAUGUUGCAACAAAAGGUGCUGGGAAUAGUUUAGGCUGAAUUCUGGCAAGUUGAAAUGAAGAUUUUAUGACUAUUUCAUCUAACAUCUUUGUUGUGAGUAAAUGCAAGACUUCAAACACUUGCCAUGUAGACGGCUGUAUUUAAACUACCAACCUGGACUCUCUUUAAUAGCCAUAAGUCUGUGGUUCUGGAGCCCUAUUAAACUUAUCUCAAAUUAGAUGUCUAAACACAUCAAAUAAGCUAUACUUUAGAAAUGCCACUUACAGCCCAUUUGGUACAAAAGGGGUCUGGAUCACCAACCAGAUUUUGACAUUAAUACAGAAAACAUUAAACAUUGGUAAGAUGACCCUAAUUCCCCUUGAUGUGUGAUGCCCCAGACAGACCAUUUAGACAUCCAGAAGCUCUGCAUCAGUAUUUUGAGGAAAGCUAUUUGAAGAAUAUUUAUUUAUUCAUGUUCUGAACAUGUGUAUGAAGUUCUGAAAGUCACAACAUACAAUCCUGUGACAGAAAUAAUUUAAGACUUGAGACAAAGUGUUUUAACAAGCACAAAAGAAAAAAAAGAAAAAGAGAAUUAGACUGUUAAAGCACAGGUUGGAUGAGGCUUCAAGCAACCUGAUUUAGUGGAAGGUGUCCCACUGUGACAGAGGGCUUGGAGCUAGUUGAUCUUUAAGAUCCAGUUCAACACAAUUAUAUGAUUUUAUUAUGGUUUUAAAGUAGAAUUUCCCUCUGAAGCAGGAACAUCUACAAGCUGAAAUCUCAAAAGAGAAUAAGGAAUUGCAGUUCAGCUCUGGAAAAGGACAGAACCUUUCUUUUCUUAUGAAAACUAUAGAGAAAAAAAAAUAGUACAUAACAUUGCAGCUAUUUUUCUCCACUAUAUCCACUGAUCUAAUAGGAUAUGUUACCUUUUCCCAGGAACAUGGUGUUACAAGAACUACAGUCAAAUUAAGUUAUUUCUCCAGUUUUAAAAACAUGAAUAUUGAGGAGAACAAGUGGAUACUCUAUCUGGCUGAGCAUUUUGCCAAUUAUCUAUUGAUGGAAAUGAGACUGCGGGGAAAAUACGCACUUAGCAUGAUUUGGCCCUGAAACAGCACGAAGAGCCAACAACUGGGACAUGACACAGCCAACACAACUCUUUCCAAAGAAAGCAGUGUAUUAAUGGCGUACCUUUCAUGGAAGGUUUUCAAAGUGCUUUCAAAAAAUUCAUUAACUGAGCCACUCACCACCUAACAUGAUUGGGUUAGACUGAGCCAAUUUCUUCAACACUGGAAUAUAACUGCUAUGCUGAUAGCAUGGGGGAAAUGCAUGAGGCCUUAAUCCUGUUUCAGUAGUGAUGAUGGGAAUUUGCAGUUGUGUUCUUCUGGAAAUGGCUCAGAUAUAGAGACUGCCUGUAACCUUCCCUGUAACCUGGGCCCCAGUUCUCAGAGGCUGCUCUCAGCUGUACGAAAAGAGGAUAAGGCUUACUGAGUUGGCACUUUUCCAGAAAUGAAGAUAGUUUUCAUUUCUUCUGGGGAAAAGAAAUAAAAGUGCCUAGACAUUGACUGCAACUAGUCACAGCCUCCUGUAGACUGCUGUCAAGAAUUAGCACUUCUGUGUCUCCUACAAACACAAAGCCUAUAAAGCUUGUGCUGGGAACUGCUACCAGUAAGUUCCUCCUUGGGAAGUACCAAAAAACACUGACCUAAUCCAGACCUUAUCUGAGCUGAUAGGAUCACAACAGAAGUUGCCAUAUUUGCAAGUUUGCAAACUUACAAGUAAAAUCUUGCUAUCAUAAGUAAUCCUGACUUUUUUUCCUGAAUAAAAGUAAUGAAGAUGCACAGAAAAACUGCUGUAGUUUUCUGAAGGUCAAGGAAGAUUUGCUAAAAUGUAUGAAUUGUUGUUUUUGCUGUACAAGCUGAUCAACAGCAAAAUUCUGGUCAAAAUGCCUACAUGCCAGCUAUGAUAUGUAUUAUCCUGAAGGCAAAGCAGGGCUGGAUAAAGUUUUGUUCCAGGAAGAGAGUUGUCUCAUUUGGUUGAUUUCAAUUAGCAACUUACUUGAAACAUUGUUGACCUUUCUGGCAUAGUAUACUUUUAAGUAAAAGGUAGGAUACCGGUCUAAUCCACUCAGCUCCAGAACAGUUUAACCAUAUCCGUAGGGCACACAUCCUGUGACUUCAUUUAAUCUUAUGAUCAGGGGAGUGUCACUUGAUGUGUUAGGCACUGAAGACUUAGAAGGCCCUUGACCUUUUUCACAACUAUAAGACUUCCUUUUUCUCAGAACAAAAAGAGUGAUGACGAGAAGUGAUUUUUUUUGUGGUAUUGUUUUUCAUGGCAUUUUUUUCAUCCAAUGAACACAAAGCAGAUGAGAACUAGCCAUAAUUGCACUCUUAGAAACACAUUCUAAAAUGAAGGAUUUUAAGAAUUCUCAAAAUUAUUUGAUGAUGCUCCAGAAGCAAACUGUUAUUGAUCACUGCUGCAUUUCAUUCAGAUAACCACUGCUGCUUAGUGAGCUGAGCAUUUACACAACUGGUAGAGUAUUGUUGCUAUUUGUCACAAUUUCUGCUAUUCAAAGCAGCUAAGUGCUCUUCAGGAGUAGCGUUUUCUUUGAUGUUACUUCAAAUUGUAAUAUUUAUAGAGAAAUUAUAUAUGUGUGUAUAUAUAUACACAUACACAUAAUAGCUAUUUGUAACAUUCAGCCAUUGUAACUGGUGAAUUUCUUGCAAACUUCUAAGUCUUUAAUUUAAGAUAUCUGGUAACAUAAAAAUAAUAUGACCUUUGUAGUGAUUAACUAGACAGCUCUCACCAUCUAUGUGAUUCUGUAAAGCAUUGUAUUAAGCACAAAUAUACAUAUUCUCUGCACAGAGGUACUUUCAUAUAAACGAAAUGUUUCAGCCAUUGUUCAGAAACUGAGCCUAAAUCCAGGAACAAUACAUGCCAUUGAGUUCCCUCAACAUAACACUUGCUCUGUCAUCUAGAAAUUUUAGAGCUAUUGGGAAAACAAACAAAAUGAAAAAGUUGUUUCUUCCUGUGUGUCUUGUUUUCUAACUCUAAAAUUCAAAGUACAUGCCCAAAUAAGCACUACAGUAUGGGCCAUCCCUUAAGUCAGUGAAUGUCUCGGAAAACGUAGACGUUCUCCUGGGUUCCAGAGUACCUGGGACACAAAGACCUUCUGAGUGCCAGAAACAGAGACUGAGGUUUAGGGCCCUUCCCGCCCUCAAACCUUUAUAAAGACUAAGAAUGUAUGUAUACAUUUUAAAUCUGUCUCAGUCCCAAUAGUUGCCAUGAGUGGUGCAUUUUUAGCCUGAGAAAUUACGUUUAUGGAUUUACACCAUUAAUGAGUCUAUUGACCACUUUCAACUAAUUUUAAGAGUUAGGUCGUGUCUCAAAGCCCUCAAUAGCUGUUACAGGCUUAAGCAAAGAACGACCCAUGGCAAGGGCACAGAUGGAACAAAGGCGGAGGAACUCAUCCAGAACAUUUGAGUUGCACAGUUCUGUGCCACCAGCCUUCCGGAAUGGAUUUCAUUUCCCUUCAGUUACUUACACGUUGGAUGUUGGAACCCGAAAUUCUCACCCAGGCUCCCUUUGGCAGCUAUUCACAGUAACAGACACUCACACUGUGACUCAUGCAACUCAUUUUAGAUCUUUUCAUCAGGAUGAAAUGCAUUCUGGAAAUGCCCAUAUAUCUUACUGAAAAUAAUAGGGAGUUACACAAAUAGGUCAGGUGAAGUUGUUGACACUGUAGCUGUGUAAAAUGAGGUUAGAUGAAAACCUGUGGUAUGUUUCUUUGAAAGGCAGGAUAGAAAAAAACUAUAGCAAAAAUUUAUUACAGACUUCUUAUAAGUAAAUAUUAAGUCAAUUUCUUAGAAUUAUUAGAGAACCCAAAUAAAUUUUAGAUAGUACCUGAUUUUUAUUACAAACAUGCAUGUAUUGUUAUUAGAAUGUUAAAUAAAGUUAAGAAUGGUUCAGAAGCAUCUGUUUUCCUUAUGCAUUGGUUUGUUUCAUGCUGCCCAUAAAAUACAUACUUCUAAUCUUAUGACUGAUGAAAGUUGUGGUUUAGCAGCAUCAUCAUGAUAUAUUGUUGAAAGAAGACAAAAGAAUUUGUGGAUGUAGGAACUAAAUCCAUAUAUAUUAUGAAACUAUCUCCAGUCCUGUGCUGUAGGAUACUGAAAUAAAGAGCUAUCUAGAAACUACCUUAGGGUGUUCUUUUUUAUAUAUAUGAGUAUUUUACAACACGUCUUUUUUGAUUGUUGAAUUACAUUCUUUUAUAAUAAAACAGUUUUGGUUUUUAAGUUAGUCUCCUUGAUCAGAUAUGUCAUACCAUUGGGUUAUGUCAUUGCCCCCUACAAGUCAGAGCAUACAAAAAUGCAUUUUACAUAACUUAAUGAUGUUUUACAGUUUCUAAAAUUGCCUGGACUACAACACCAUUUAUUUAGUUACGUUGGUCAUCUGAGUAUUGGCUGGUUCUGUAAACACUAAGCUGCACAGUUAAUAUAUUAUAAAUGUAUCUUCCUGCCUUUCAUAAUGAACCACCACACUGUCACUGUGGGCUCUUCAGCCCUGCUCACUAGUGAGGCCAGUGCUGAGAUCUUUCUACUUUACCCCAGUUCACUUGACUGAAAAGUUCAUUGUGAUCUCUCUGGCUCAUCCCUUUGACUCAACUCCCUUUUAUUUCUCUCACUGGCUUAUGCUUCACUGGUGCAUCUAAUCAGUGCCUUGCCUUGAGGUCUCUGCAGAGUUCAUCCCUUUCCUAUAUGACCAUUCUUUUCUUCUGCUAUUUUAUCCCUGUUGCUGCACCAGUGAUUCCAUAUCCAGUUUUCUCUUCAUUAAUUUUUCUGUCCUCCUUUUGCACUGUCUCCUAAGCAAAUCACUUCACCUGGGAUUCCUCUCCUAAUGUGUCUUGCAGCUCCCUUCUCCUGCAAAAUUGGUUCUCAAUUCAAACUUACCAAUAUGGCUACAAAAGUAAAACAAUUAAAAAUUGCUUUCUAGAAGUGCAGGUUAGGGCAUAUCGUAAAUUCACAAUGUGGAACAAAAUAAAAUGAACAAAAUAUGAAAUAUGUCAUGCAUAAUUUUGCCUUUGUUCCCAUUCUAUGUUUAUUUUUCUGUAGCAAUAAAUAUUCACAUAACGUAUUUUUAAAGCCUAACACAACUUAUGUGUUACUAAAAUAUUGAAGAUUAGCAGAGUUGUAGAGCUACAGUUUAGAAGCAUUAAUGCUGAGUAUGGUACAGCAUUUGGUACAGCACCAUAUGCACAAACCAGAUGCUUUUGAAAGGUUUUAUCUUUUUAUCUUGAGUGCUCCUAUGAACUCUGUUAUUGUUGCAUCCCCCAAUUAUAUCUCAUAAUUUAUAGUAUGUUCAUCUUCCUAAUACCAAUAUGUGUUAUUGGUCUUAUUUAACAGAUGGAGAACUAAAGAACAGGGAAACCAAGAUCCAAUAAACACUGACAUCCAAGCAGAGCGCAGUUGAGAUCUCUAGAUUAUUAAAAACAAACUCAAAGCCACAUGCGAUAGACUUUACUCAUUAUGAACCACGUUGCAAGUGACUGCACAUUGCAAUUCUCGGUCAGAAAAACUCAAAAUAAGGAUUACUUCUAGAUUUACAUCUCAGGAUUUAAUGCAGAGUAUCUGAAUAAAGGUAACAGAAACCCAAGAGCCACAAUGCAACAAUGGACACAGAAUACUAAAAUUUCACAUUCUUGGAAGUGUGAAAAAACUCACAAUACAUUGCUCACAGUAAUGAACAAACAUACCUGUAAAA